rnacentral:misc_RNA from 1 species
GAUGAAGAACGUAGUGAAAUGCGAUAAGUAAUGUGAAUUGCAGAAUUCAGUGAAUCAUCGAAUCUUUGAACGCACAUUGCGCCCGCCAGUAUUCUGGCGGGCAUGCCUGUUCGAGCGUCAUUACAACCCUCAGGCCCCCGGGCCUGGCGUUGGGGAUCGGCGGAGCCCCCCGUGGGCACACGCCGUCCCCCAAAUGCAGUGGCGGUCCCGCCGCAGCUUCCAUCGCGUAGUAGCUAACACCUCGCGACUGGAGAGCGGCGCGGCCACGCCGUAAAACACCCAACUCUUCUGAAUGUUGACCUCGGAUCAGGUAGGAAUACCCGCUGAACUUAAGCAUAUCAAUAAGCGGAGGA